GACGAACGCUGGCGGCGUGCCUAAUACAUGCAAGUAGAACGCUGAAGAGAGGAGCUUGCUCUUCUUGGAUGAGUUGCGAACGGGUGAGUAACGCGUAGGUAACCUGCCUUGUAGCGGGGGAUAACUAUUGGAAACGAUAGCUAAUACCGCAUAACAAUGGAUGACACAUGUCAUUUAUUUGAAAGGGGCAAUUGCUCCACUACAAGAUGGACCUGCGUUGUAUUAGCUAGUAGGUGAGGUAACGGCUCACCUAGGCGACGAUACAUAGCCGACCUGAGAGGGUGAUCGGCCACACUGGGACUGAGACACGGCCCAGACUCCUACGGGAGGCAGCAGUAGGGAAUCUUCGGCAAUGGGGGCAACCCUGACCGAGCAACGCCGCGUGAGUGAAGAAGGUUUUCGGAUCGUAAAGCUCUGUUGUAAGUCAAGAACGAGUGUGAGAGUGGAAAGUUCACACUGUGACGGUAGCUUACCAGAAAGGGACGGCUAACUACGUGCCAGCAGCCGCGGUAAUAUGUAGGUCCCGAGCGUUGUCCGGAUUUAUUGGGCGUAAAGCGAGCGCAGGCGGUUUGAUAAGUCUGAAGUUAAAGGCUGUGGCUCAACCAUAGUUCGCUUUGGAAACUGUCAAACUUGAGUGCAGAAGGGGAGAGUGGAAUUCCAUGUGUAGCGGUGAAAUGCGUAGAUAUAUGGAGGAACACCGGUGGCGAAAGCGGCUCUCUGGUCUGUAACUGACGCUGAGGCUCGAAAGCGUGGGGAGCGAACAGG
rnacentral:rRNA from 1 species